AUACGGAGGGUGCAAGCGUUGUACGGAAUUACUGGGCGUAAAGGGCGUGUAGGCGGUCGAGCAAGUCGGUUGUGAAAGCCCCGGGCUCAACCCGGGAACUGCAUCCGAAACUUCUCGACUAGAGUCCCGGAGAGGAAGGCAGAAUUCCCAAUGUAGGGGUGAAAUCCGUAGAUAUUGGGAGGAAUACCAGCGGCGAAGGCGGCCUUCUGGACCAAUACUGACGCUGAGGCGCGAAAGCGUGGGGAGCAAACAGGAUUAGAAACCCCGGUAGUCC
rnacentral:rRNA from 1 species